rfam:Lingula anatina scaffold11, whole genome shotgun sequence.
CCUCCCAUCUUGGCAUGAGUUAUCUUAUCCAUGGUAACUUGUGAAUAACAGUGGAGGAAGAGGAAAGGUGGAUCGUCUUCGGUGUUGGAACUUGUGCCAUGUUCUAAAACUGUCCUCUAGGUUCACUACAAAA